AGAGUUUGAUCAUGGCUCAGAGCGAACGCUGGCGGCAGGCUUAACACAUGCAAGUCGAGCGGGCACUUCGGUGUCAGCGGCAGACGGGUGAGUAACACGUGGGAACGUGCCCUUCGGUUCGGAAUAACUCAGGGAAACUUGAGCUAAUACCGGAUACGCCCUUUUGGGGAAAGGUUUACUGCCGAAGGAUCGGCCCGCGUCUGAUUAGCUUGUUGGUGGGGUAACGGCCUACCAAGGCGACGAUCAGUAGCUGGUCUGAGAGGAUGAUCAGCCACACUGGGACUGGGACACGGCCCAGACUCCUACGGGAGGCAGCAGUGGGGAAUAUUGGACAAUGGGCGCAAGCCUGAUCCAGCCAUGCCGCGUGAGUGAUGAAGGCCUUAGGGUUGUAAAGCUCUUUUGUCCGGGACGAUAAUGACGGUACCGGAAGAAUAAGCCCCGGCUAACUUCGUGCCAGCAGCCGCGGUAAUACGAAGGGGGCUAGCGUUGCUCGGAAUCACUGGGCGUAAAGGGCGCGUAGGCGGCCGAUUAAGUCGGGGGUGAAAGCCUGUGGCUCAACCACAGAAUUGCCUUCGAUACUGGUUGGCUUGAGACCGGAAGAGGACAGCGGAACUGCGAGUGUAGA
rnacentral:rRNA from 1 species